GGGACAUUAGCUCAGUUGGUAGAGCACUUGACUUUUAAUCAAGGUGUCGGGAGUUCGAGUCUCCUAUGUCUCA
rnacentral:tRNA from 2 species